rnacentral:lncRNA from 1 species
GAGAGAAAGAGUCAGCCCACGCUGGAGGGAAGGUUAGAGGGAGGGAGAGAAUCUCGAGCAGACUCCCUGCUGAGGGCAGAGCCCGAAGACUCAGUGUCACAACCCUGAGAUCACCAUCAGAGCUGCAAUCAAGAGUCUGAUAGUUAACUAACUGAGCCAUCCAGUGACACUGGGCUCUGAUCUGAGUUCUAAAGCCACUGGGCUCUCAGCAACACCCUGCCUGGUUGGGAGGCAGAGUACCUGGUCCCUCCUUCAGGCCAAGUCACUCAUCUGCCAAAUAUAAGAGGCAGCGAGGUUUGUACCAAGAGUCUCGAAGAUUUCUCUGGACCCUGAGGUGUUGUGAAUCUAUUUGUUGCUGUCAUGAUCUCGGAGUCUUGGGAUCAGGCCCUGCAUGGGGCCAUGUGUUGAGCUCCAUGCUCAGCAUGGAGUCUGCUUGGGAUUCUCUCUCUCAAAUAAAUAAGUGAAUACAAUAAAAAAAAAAAGAAGAAAGAAAGAAAACAGAAAACAUUGACUUUCCAAAUGGGAACUGGACACCAACAUUACUGAAGGUAAUCUGAGGAAGAGGAUAAAACCAAAGUUGCCCACAGGAAAUGAACUGAGAGAACAGAAUCUAGAAUUUUAAAUGUGUAAAUCAUAUCCA